CAUGUAGGCGGCAUGACAAGUCUGGUGUGAAAUAUCUCGGCUCAACCGAGAAAACGCACUGGAAACUGUCAAGCUUGAGUAUCGGAGGGGAAGCUAGAAUUCCUGGUGUAGGGGUGAAAUCUGUAGAUAUCAGGAAGAAUACCGGUGGCGAGGGCGAGCUUCUGGCCAGAUACUGACGCUGAGAUGCGAAAGCGUGGGGAGCGAACAGGAUUAGAUACCCUGGUAGUCC
rnacentral:rRNA from 1 species